UAAGGAAUAUUGGUCAAUGGACGCAGGUCUGAACCAGCCAUGCCGCGUGAAGGAUGAAGGUCCUCUGGAUUGUAAACUUCUUUUAUCUGGGACGAAAACGGGAUUUUUAUCUCAAUUGACGGUACCAGAGGAAUAAGCACCGGCUAACUCCGUGCCGGCAGCCGCGGUAAUACGGAGGGUGCGAGCGUUAUCCGGAUUUACUGGGUUUAAAGGGUGCGUAGGUGGGCUUAUAAGUCAGUGGUGAAAUCUCCGAGCUUAACUUGGAAACUGCCGUUGAUACUAUAGGUCUUGAAUUAUCUGGAGGUAAGCGGAAUAUGCCAUGUAGCGGUGAAAUGCUUAGAUAUGACAUAGAACACCAAUUGCGAAGGCAGCUUACUACAUAUAAAUUGACGCUGAGGCACGAAAACGUGGGGAUCAAACA
rnacentral:rRNA from 1 species